rnacentral:rRNA from 1 species
CCCUAUUAUAUUUAGUAUAAUUUUAAUUUUGAGUAGUAAAUGGUUUGGUCAGGAAACUUAAAGAAUUUGGCGGUGUAUAUUCUGAUUAGAGGAAUAUGUUUUUUAAUUGAUAAUCCACAAGGAUCUUACUUGAGUUUAUUUAUUUUGUAUAUCUCCGUCUUAAAAUAAUUUUCUAAAAUAUUUUUUGUAUUUUAUAAUUUAAAAUAAGUCAGGUCAAGGUGCAGAUGAUACUUAAGAUAAAAUGUAUUACAAUAGAUUUAUCUUUGGAUUAAUAAUUUAAAUUUUUUAUGAAAUUGGAUUUAUAAGUAAUUUUUUUUAAAUAAUAAUUAAAUGAAUUGUGUUAAUAUAUAUGUACACAUCG